GAAUAAAAAAACGGCUUAAGGAAUUAAUUCAUUUCUUUCAAUUCUUUUACAUUUUGAAUUAGUUAACGGAUAACGAUUAUUCAUACAUAUAUAAAGCGAUUGUUAAAGGAUUUUUGUUCUAACCGAGAAUCGUGCAAGGAUUACGAGUAAACUUUUAAUGCUAACGCCAACAGAACAGUGAAUAGAAAUUGUGUGCGCAAAUG